rnacentral:lncRNA from 1 species
AGUAUUCUCAUUUGUCAACCAAGCCAUGCAUUGAGCGAACAAUAAGGUCUAUCAAAAUUGGAGAUUGUGGGAGGAAAAUAGUGGUGGCCAGAACUGAGUAGUUGCCAUCAUCACAAAGUACAUGCCAAGAUCAAGUGUAGGCAUGUAGCCGUAGAAAGCAGUGGAUUGACACCACCCUCAUUGUCGUCGUCACACAGAGUAGAUCUAUAUAUGGAUCAAGAGACAACGCUGUUGGGAGGGAGGGGCGUACUUGGAGCUCCAUCAACUCUGUUGAGCCCAUCCGCAUGGGGCUGCCUCUUUGAGACCUUGCCGCUCUGCCUCAUCAAGGCCUCGCUGCUCCACCCCAUCAACCACCUCUCUGUUUAGAUCAACCAUCUAGACCGCCGAAUCUGAAGUGGAGGAGACAAGGAGAAUGACGGCCUCCACACAAUAGAUUGAUCAUGCAAAGGGGUGAGGGGAUGGCGGCGCUAGCAUGGGGAUAGGGGGUGUCACCGAUGUGAGGGACGAGUAGCGGAGUGCGAUGGCUCUAGCGUGAUGUUUUGUGCAAGGAAAAGCGGAGAGACAGAGAGUGCACACAUGGGGAGGAAGGGUGGAUUUAUAUUGUUUUUAAUAUGUAUAAUAU